rnacentral:lncRNA from 1 species
GAGCAUGCAAAUAGUACUUGUACAACGGGAUGCACUUAUCACAAUUUUGAACCAAUAGAGAUAAAUAAAUAAAUUGUUUACUUAAAUUUACGUAGAAAACCUCUUUAAAAACAAGGGAAGAAACAGAAUACAACAGUCUUUUACUAUACUAGAGGUAUUACGAAGACUAGAGAGUAUACCUAAACAGAAAACCAAUGUAUGCACACACUUCACUCAUAAAUGUUCU